rnacentral:lncRNA from 1 species
AGUUAGAGUUUAUACAAAUUAUUACAAAAUCACAUGAUAAUAAUCAAAAGACAAAUAUUAAGCCAAAAAAAAGAGCUUCAAAUCAAUAUCCCUUCCCCAGGUGACUCUUCGAAAUCCUGAACUUAUAUAUCCUGCUAAAUAAAGGAGAUAAAGCAGCACCAACAUACAAUACAACAAAAUUUAUUUAACGGGCAGAAGCUACAAAUACAGAUUAAUUCACGAAGCAAAC